CUUGCUCCUCUGACGUUAGCGGCGGACGGGUGAGUAACACGUGGAUAACCUACCUAUAAGACUGGGAUAACUUCGGGAAACCGGAGCUAAUACCGGAUAAUAUAUUGAACCGCAUGGUUCAAUAGUGAAAGACGGUUUUGCUGUCACUUAUAGAUGGAUCCGCGCCGCAUUAGCUAGUUGGCAAGGUAACGGCUUACCAAGGCAACGAUGCGUAGCCGACCUGAGAGGGUGAUCGGCCACACUGGAACUGAGACACGGUCCAGACUCCUACGGGAGGCAGCAGUAGGGAAUCUUCCGCAAUGGGCGAAAGCCUGACGGAGCAACGCCGCGUGAGUGAUGAAGGUCUUCGGAUCGUAAAACUCUGUUAUCAGGGAAGAACAAAUGUGUAAGUAACUGUGCACAUCUUGACGGUACCUGAUCAGAAAGCCACGGCUAACUACGUGCCAGCAGCCGCGGUAAUACGUAGGUGGCAAGCGUUAUCCGGAAUUAUUGGGCGUAAAGCGCGCGUAGGCGGUUUUUUAAGUCUGAUGUGAAAGCCCACGGCUCAACCGGUGGAGGGUCACUUGGAAACUGGAAGACUUGAGUGCAGAAGAGGAAAGUGGAUUCCAUGUGUAGCGGUGAAAUGCGCAGAGAUAUGGAGGACACCAGUGGCGAAGGCGACUUUCUGGUC
rnacentral:rRNA from 1 species